rnacentral:lncRNA from 1 species
UUCUGUUGGUGUUGAAUAUAGAGUCUGCAGUCUCUGUCUGUGACAUCAGAGUGCAUACGAUCAAUUUCGGAUGCCAUCUUGAGUGGAAUUGUCUUGAUGCCAACCCUAAAACGACUUACACUGUUUUGAGCAAGCAUGGUACAUCAUGGGUAAAUGUUUCGGGCUGCAUCCAGAUUUUGCAGCAAAGCUGUGAUCUGUCAGAAGUCUUUCCUAACUUAUACACCUACAACUUCAUCAGACUGACAUCUGAGCUUCUCUGGCUGAAUGAAACUCUGUAUUGCACCCCUGUAGAUGACCCUGCUGCCAAAUUCAGCCCGCCCUCAAUAACAAUCUCCAUGGCCAAUGGAAGUCUCUGGGUGGCGGUAAAGUUUCCUUGUGCUCCAUCCAUAAGCUGCACAUUUAAAGGUGAUGAUGAAUAUUAUGAGGAGGAGGAGGAGAUAGGAUGCCCCUGUCUUGUAACUGAUGUUGUUAAAAGUCUCUGGGCAACAGUCACUCUAUACAAUGAACAGAAUCUCUCAGACAAACAGGCACACACGGGCUGGAGUGAUGCGUGA